rnacentral:rRNA from 1 species
GACGAACGCUGGCGGCGUGCUUAACACAUGCAAGUCGAACGAAAAGAGGGAAAGAGCUUGCUCUUUCCGGAAUUGAGUGGCAAACGGGUGAGUAACACGUAAACAACCUGCCUUCAGGAUGGGGACAACAGACGGAAACGACUGCUAAUACCGAAUAAGUUCCAAGGGCCGCAUGGCCCAUGGAAGAAAAGGUGGCCUCUACCUGUAAGCUAUCGCCUGAAGAGGGGUUUGCGUCUGAUUAGCUGGUUGGAGGGGUAACGGCCCACCAAGGCGACGAUCAGUAGCCGGUCUGAGAGGAUGACCGGCCACACUGGAACUGCGACACGGUCCAGACUCCUACGGGAGGCAGCAGUGGGGAAUCUUCCGCAAUGGGCGAAAGCCUGACGGAGCAACGCCGCGUGAGUGAUGACGGCCUUCGGGUUGUAAAACUCUGUGAUCCGGGGCGAAAAGGCAGAGUGCGAAGAACAAACUGCAUUGACGGUACCUGAAAAGCAAGCCACGGCUAACUACGU